UACGUAGGGUGCGAGCGUUAAUCGGAAUUACUGGGCGUAAAGUGUGCGCAGGCGGCCGAGCAAGUCGAGUGUGAAAGCCCCGAGCUUAACCUGGGAACUGCACUUGAAACUACGAUGCUGGAGUAUGGCAGAGGGAGGUGGAAUUCCACGUGUAGCGGUGAAAUGCAUAGAGAUGUCAUAGAACACCGAUUGCGAAGGCAGCUAACGAAACUAUAACUGACACUGAGGCUCGAAAGUGCGGGGAUCAAACAGG
rnacentral:rRNA from 1 species